rnacentral:rRNA from 1 species
AUGAGGAGGUCUAAAGUGCUGCUGCUCUUCGCCAUCGCCUUGAUCAUGAUCGCAUCCGGUGCGGAUGCGUGGUGUAAAUAUGACGCCAUCCUUCCGAAGCACUUUUGCAAGCAAGAAGGGUGCACAGCCAAUUGCCAGAAGCAUCUGCAGGAGUACGUGUGCCCGGACUGCAUCAGGCUCGAGUCCGCCGCCUGCAUGAAUGAUGGCUCGCUCGCGCCCUUGGACGGGGCUUGCUACUGCCACAUCUGCUCCAAGGAUUAG